GACGAACGCUGGCGGCGUGCUUAACACAUGCAAGUCGAACGGAAAGGCCCUGCUUUUGUGGGGUGCUCGAGUGGCGAACGGGUGAGUAACACGUGAGUAACCUGCCCUUGACUUUGGGAUAACUUCAGGAAACUGGGGCUAAUACCGGAUAGGAGCUCCUGCUGCAUGGUGGGGGUUGGAAAGUUUCGGCGGUUGGGGAUGGACUCGCGGCUUAUCAGCUUGUUGGUGGGGUAGUGGCUUACCAAGGCUUUGACGGGUAGCCGGCCUGCGAGGGUGACCGGCCACAUUGGGACUGAAAUACGGCCCAGACUCCUACGGGAGGCAGCAGUGGGGAAUAUUGCACAAUGGGCGGAAGCCUGAUGCAGCAACGCCGCGUGCGGGAUGACGGCCUUCGGGUUGUAAACCGCUUUCGCCUGUGACGAAGCGUGAGUGACGGUAAUGGGUAAAGAAGCACCGGCUAACUACGUG
rnacentral:rRNA from 1 species